AUGAUAUGGAUGUUAUGGUUGACAAAUUGGAUGAUGAAAUCAUGGCAAUAGAACUUGGUCCACCUAAUUUUAAAGAGGCCUUAUAAGAAACUUGGUUGCAAGGCAAGUUGGAAACGCACAAAAGUUUGAUCGUGUCCUAUAGAAUUGCCAGAGAAGGUCAUCUCCAUUUCGUGCAAAAUCAGAUUUCUUUCUACACACAAAAACACUAGGUAAACACGCAUUAGCCUUAUUUUGUUCAUGAUAUAAUUCUAUUGUCUAUAAAUUUAUUUCAAUUUUUUUCCCUUGCCUGGGAUGCUUCCUUAAUGAUCAACAUAGCAUAGGACAACUUUUAGUGUUGCAGAAAACAACAUUUUCCAUUAAUGUUUUUGGACAGGAAGCAAUUUGUGUUUUUUCGUAUCCAAAGAACGUAAUAGUUUUAAUGGACAAAGUAGGUUUCUCUUUUGAUAUUUAAAUUUGUUUCAUUCAUGAUGAGGUUGUGUAUAAUUUGCAUUGGCAUU
rnacentral:sRNA from 1 species